CUACUUUAGAAAAGUACACACAAGGAAUAUCUAAAUAUUUAUGUUCUGUGUUUACCUGAAGUGCCAUUAAAUCCCUUUAUUGCUGUGCCUUUACUGCCAUCCCAGAACUCUCAGCUGGUUUCCAGUUGUAGUGGAGGCAGAGAUUUCUGCCCUUAGGUCAGGUGGGUGUGUUGCUUUUCCUUCCCUCUCUGUCCUCCAGCACAGCCUCCUCCUGGCAGUUCUGCUCAGCCUCAUGUUAUGCUGCUCAGCCCACGCUGCCUUGGCCAACCACAAACCCUUUGGCUGAUCUCCUGUGCUGAUGUGGCUUUACAGGAAGCUGCCAUGAAUUCCAGCAGCCUCCCUGGCUUCCUGGGGAACAUCACAGGUGUAUUUCAGUCCUCCCAUGGAAUGGAGACAGGACAAAGGCAGCUCCUCUCAAGUGCUGAGCCUCCUCUUUGUCUUCAUUUUCCACACAGGUGUGGUUUGAUGAUGCUUCUGGAGUCAGACUGGCAUUGUGACAAAACACCCAAGAGGAAAUCCAGCCCCUAUUUCUGCCAUCAAUUCAUGUCGUAGAUUUCAGUGUCAUUGUCACAUUUCUGUGGCUAAGAGGAGAAGAGAAAGGAGCCAGUGGACAUCCCUCCCUGCAAGAGCAUGGAAGGUAUUUGUCAUUCACACAGCCUUAGAAAUCCCAUGGCUGAUGUGUUGCUGCUUCAAAAUCUACAUUCACAAAAUGCAAGUUUGGAGAAAUGCCAGUUCCACCAUCAUGUUACAGCCUGGACUUGCCAGAGCUGGGAAUGGCAGAUUUGGUGUCAUCAGCAGUGCUUCAGCACAUCCACAGCUGGGAGGAAAUGUUUGGAUGUAUUUGUGUCAGAAGAGAAAAGCAGCAAUUACUGACAGAUAGUCUGAGGCACAUCCAAGUGCAUCAUCACAUGAAGCAGCCUGUCUCCUCUCAAAUGGAAAAGAAAAAAAACAAAACAAACCAAAAACCCCAAAACAACCAUAUUUGAAAGAGCUAGGGAUUAUUCAAGUGCUGUGUAAGUGUAAUGCACAGUGACCAAGUGCCCAAGUGAAGGAAUCUGCUGGAAAGGAAAUGAACAAUUGGUGAUUCCCAAGUUUCCUAUGAGAGAUCUGGGCUGUAAAAGCAUGUUGUGAUUGUGCUUUCUCCCAUGUAUACACUGAGAAUGAAGAGGUCAUGAUAGCAAACUAAGAGUGGGACUGUUAGUCUGGAGUCUAGAUUAGGAUAUGCCCCUUAAUGCAAAUAUUUUCUGGUCAGAAAUAGGAUAUGCAUUAAUCCAAGGGCAAGAGCUGUGACUGACUUGACAAUGAGACUUAUGCCUCUGUGAAAUCAUAUAUAUAUAAGUCAGUAAUUAUAUAUACUGAUGGAAGAAACACUUCCUAUUGUAAAUGAGAGAAUGAAUUUGAGGAACUACCAAACAUUCUUGUUAAGAGAGAAAAAAAAAUUACUUUCAGGUAACUUGUUUGGAAAAUGUUUGCUAUGGAUAAAUCUGUUGGUAAAAGCAUAGCUGACAUUUCAGAGCUCAAACCAAGCAAACACAAAGCAACACAGAGGCAAUAGAUUUUGAGCAGAGCAGCAUCAUGGCAAAGAGCUGACUUCUCUAGUAACACCCUGUGAAUCACUGUGAGGGGAAGGACAGGCAAAAGAGAACAGGAGGCCAGCUGAAACCAUCCCAGGAAAUCUCUGUGCAGUACAAACUGAAUCAAAUCAAAAGCCUGAGUGGAUUUGUGCAGACCUUCCAGAAGUGUGUUAGCACUCCAGAAGGGAAGUGGUAGAUUUCACAUGGCUUUUGAUAUCUGCCAGGAGAUACCAAUAAAGGCACUGCAAGAAGCAAAGGAAAACUCCUGAUCUGCAAGACACAUGGUCUGAGAACAGAGACCUUUGUUGUAUAGCCCUAUUUACAAUCCAGGAUUCAUCAAAUCAUCACUUGAGAAUGGAGAAGAUUCUAGUGAGAAGCUGCAUGGCAAAGAUCACUGUCCCAGACAUAGAACCUCACCAGAAACCACUGAAACUGAGCUCCUGAAAUCAGCACAGGAGACACACACAGAUGUGCUGCUUCACACAUUCUCCAGGAUGAGGGACCAAAUCAAGCCUCACUAAAGACACAGAAGCCUUGGAUUCAGCAGUGCUGUGCUGCACUGGAAUAUUGGGAAACUGCUGCUGCUUUCUUCUUGUUUUUCUGAAACACAACCUUGGGCAAGACUCCCUGACAGCAAUGAUUAUAAUAACAACAGUAAUACAAGUACCCUGAUGAGUGGUUUUUGGGAUGAGACACAGCUUGUAGGUGGUUUAGGUGUUUCUGCAGUCAGCAGAGCCUUGGGAGCCCUGCUACUGACAGACUUCUUGCAGAUUUGGAUAUCAGGGCAGUUCCCACUAGGAACUGUGGCAUUCCCACAUCUCAGUGCAAUGACUCUUGCCUGUACCAAACUGGGUGCAGGGAGAGCCAGGAGACAGGGAUAAACUCCAGACACCUUUUGCCCCACAGCAGCCACCAGUGUGCCUGGAAUGGGUGCUUGCAAGUGAGAAUCUGGAGACAGCUGUGUAGUGUGUGCACUGGUUAUUUUCAAAUAAAGUUUGGAGGAGAAGAAAAUCAACAAUAUUGCUGGAAUUAUGCAUCUUGUAUCAUAGUAGUGUCUUGCAGUGUACAUUAUGGGCAUUCAUCAAGAAAGAGUAAUAUUCCAUUUGUUUGUGGUGCAUUUAAUCAAUGAAUAUUGGUACUUGUAUUGCAACUUUAUCUUCUAACUAUAACUAUGUGAAGCUCAAGCAUUUUUGCACCAAAUACAUUUGUCAGUGAUGGGAGGAGGUUGCCAUAAAUACAUUAAUUACUAACUGAUAGACUGCUACAAAGAGAAGGUGGUUAUAUCUAAAACAAGCCUAAAAAUAUAGAUGUCUCCAAAAAGCAUCUCUAGAAUUUGCUGCCUUCAGUGAUACCAAGAUGAUAUUUCCAAACUUGUCUCACUGGCUGCAUGACCUUUAAAGAGUGAAAGAAGCAGUGUGCUCUGGCUUUGCUGCAGUUGUAUUGUCAUCUCAACAGAAUUCCAUGUCAUCACAACAUAAAACAGGUAAGAAACUUGAAUACCUGCAAAAUAUUAAAAUCAGCAGCUGUUCAGUUCUAGAAUAAGUGUAGUUGAAAGAUUUUUUUACCCAGUAGCUGAAUAAAGUCUUGGAAAAUUUAAAAAUAUGAAAAAGUCCAAUUACUUGAGCAAUCAGAAUAUCUGAAAAAUACUUUCUGAAGCUUUUAAGUUAGAGGAAGAGAGUGAGGAAUAAUUUGUUUGUCUAAUAAUUUAAAGGUAGGCAGGUACCAGAGAAGGUUCUAGGCAAAUAAAUCACAAAUGCGAAAUAUUGACUUCCCACAUAUUUUUCAGUUUAAUUCUUUAUCAAAAGUGCUUGGCAUGAAUUCAUAUCAAAAUAAAUUUCCCUUUUUUACUGUCAUUAGAUCACUCAGCACAUUAGGAAUGCAAAAAUUCAGCAUUUGGACAAAUGUGUGUUAGAGCAGGUAAUUAAUUUAGUAAGUACAUACACAGAUCUUGUUUACAAGAAAAAUGGCUGACAGUGUAAAAUUAUAUAUGAUUGCAAAGCAACCUGUUUUAAUGGCUUUAAUGCAAUAAUAACCAGCUUCUCCAAAUGAAAAUAGCAAAUGGAUGAAGGGCCAAAAAAAAAGCUUGAGUAUAUAAAUCAGUGAAUAUCCAACCACUUAACUGAUGAUUGAAGUGACUGUGGAUUCAAAAUUAGAAUUCUUGGGUACUACAAUUUCCAAUCCAUGGAAAACUUUUGCCUAUAAGAAAGGGCUUUUUUUUUCCUCAUACAGAACUUGAAAAGGGAAUAUUCCCCACAGCAGUGCUUUUAAAACUCUAGCUGUUGAAAUGUAAAGAUAGGAUACAGACAGACACACAGCCCUGAAAAUGUGCAGGUACAUUUUGCCUGACUCUCAGCUGCCCAGUUACUUUUCAAGAGAGAAAAAAAUAUGUAUUUAAGUGACAACAAAACACAAAGGAGAAGAAAAUCCUUCUGCUUUGGAACCUGAAACAACAAAAAAUCCUUAUGUCAUAGAUCAGCAUGCAUUUAUUGCCUGAGUGUGCAGACCAGCUUUCCAGUCAUAGGACUAACUGAAAGUAUGAGAAAGGAAGAGAGCAGAAAUUAAUAUCUUGAUUUUCCUUUUUUUCCAAUCAACAAGAUAUUGCCUCCUUACAAUAUAUCCCAUCCACCACACAGCUUACAGAACAAGUACUGAUGAUUAGAGUGUUUCAUAAGACAGUCUGAACAUGGGGUUUUGGGAAAAACCAUAAAAGUUGCCAUUUCCAACUGGGAGACAGCUCAUUAGAAGGCAUGAAAUCAGCUCAAAUUAUGCCAAGAGGGAGAAAGAAGAAGGCAAAAAGAUCCCAAGGUAGGCUGUUAUAAGUAUGGAUUAUUUGCCUUGCUUUAAAUUUGACAUAUUUAACAAAAGGAAUGUUUUCUGUUACUCCUUGGAGACUUUAAAAAUAAAUCUACUGUGCUUUCUGUAA